rnacentral:rRNA from 1 species
UACGUAGGGCGCAAGCGUUGUCCGGAAUUAUUGGGCGUAAAGAGCUCGUAGGCGGUUUGUCGCGUCUGCUGUGAAAACCUAAGGCUCAACCUUGGGCUUGCAGUGGGUACGGGCAGACUAGAGUGCGGUAGGGGGUGACUGGAAUUCCUGGUGUAGCGGUGGAAUGCGCAGAUAUCAGGAGGAACACCGAUGGCGAAGGCAGGUCACUGGGCCGCAA